AAUCAAUAGAACUUUUUCUUUAGGCUGUGUUCAUUUGAACUCAGAGAGGCUUGAUUCUCACGAACCCAGAGAGGUUUAUCCUCAAUCUAUCCACCCAAUCUUGUCAUCGUACUCAGCUACAUGACAAUUAGUAUCUAGAGCCGUUUCGAUUCUAUGAGUUUCUUCAAUGGAGGUUGCGGAUUUGGACGAGUUUUAUCCUACAGAAUUCACAGAAAAUGAAUUAUUAUCACAGAAUAUUUAUGGCUUAGGAAAACCUCUAGCUAGAGUAGCAGAGAAGACGGAAGAUGAACUUCAUCGACCUCCUAAUAUGAUAGUUGGAUGGAUGAACGUCUUAUCAAGGGAAAUCAUGGAAAUACUGGUGAUGAAGCGUAGAUUAUAUGCUGAGAAUUCAGUUGAAAGUCUGGAGUUACUCCAAUUGGUGGUUAAACAAUUGAAGAUGAUGAAGACUUAUAUCGCUGAUGACACAAAAUUAACCCCAGUUGAUACAGUUUCAGUAAGGAAUUUCACUUAGAACACUUCAAUUCCAUCAUAAGAAGAAAAUGAUGAUUGUCUCGAUUUUGAAUUGCUCAUCCCUUCAUUUUUCUUCUAUGAAGAGGAAGAUUUGUUUGAUGAGGUGAAUCAACCUAAAGAAGAUAGGAGUUCUGAGGUUAAUUAUGAGAAACUUGAAUGCUCGAAGGAAUUGGGCAUUAGUCACAGUAAACUAAUUGGUAAUAAUUUUUUUACUCUUCUUUUUGAGUAUACUCAUUCAUUAUUUGAUAGAGGGAAGGAAAUUGAUCUCAGUUUAGGGAAUUUUGAUUUUGCUAAAUGUUAUUCUGAAUUUGGGUCAAAUCUGAUGUGUGCUUGAAAUUGUUGGAAGGAUACUAUAGGGAACUUGUUCAAGAAUUGAUUCAUAAACAUGGGUACUGGUCAGAAUCAUGGUUUAGGGAUCACAUUGUUUGUAUGUUAGCUAAUAGUGGUAUUUCUAGUACCACCUGUCAGGUGUUUGUUCAAAUGCUUCCAAUGGAUAUUUUAUGUUUUGAGCAUAAUUUUUUUUUCAACCACUCACUCUCUACUGGGACAUUUUCUUGUCAUUGUCUCAAGUCUGUUGAUACGGUAUUUGAUUGUGGUAAAUCAAUUGAAACGGGUGAGAGGUAUUAUUCUUAUGAUAAAUAUAUUUCUAAUUUCUACCUUAAUUCGUGUUUGGUUGGUCGUAAUGGGUGGAUAUUCGUGGAUGCUUACUAUGAAAAAUUCGCUUUUGAGCUACUUGCGGAGUUUGGGUACUGUUUAGAUUUUAUUCUCUGGAUUAUUUUGUUUCUUCAUGUGCCAAGACAAAGUGAGUCUGGUGAUGUGCCAAGACAAAUUUAAGUUACCUACUUUUGGGAAUUAUGAAAGCCUGGCCAUUCGAGAAGAAGAAAAGAAGGUACACCUCAAUUCUGUCAAGCUUGUUCUCAAAUUCUUGUGUUAUGCUCAACAUGUCUCCUAUUGUUGUUCAUGGAUGUGGAUUUUGCAUGGUGCUGUUUAUUUUUCUAUCUACUUAUGUUAUACUUGUUCCAUAUUUGACCGUGGAAAGAGGGUCCAUGAGUCAAUUUUAGUGAAUGCUAACACUGCAAAAUUUGUUUAUGGUUUGGUUUUUAAACUGGGGUCCAGUUCCGCAUUACAAUUUAUGUACCCGAUUAUGUUUUUGUUGGUGAACGCUAGUGGCAGUGGUGUUAGCGGUAAGUUGUUUCUGCAAACGUCACACAGAGAUAUUUUAACCUGACGCAGAAGUGGACAGAAAUAGUGGGAUUUAGGAAGGUAUAUAAAUUAUUUGAGCAAGUGUUGGAUAUAUGGGAAGAAGAAACUUUUCUAUUGCAGCUUAAGUAUAAAUUUCUUGAUGAGAUUUCGAUUCUUCUUUUGUGUAUGCAAGCAACUGAAUUGUCUACCCAAAUGAUUCGAGUCUUGAGUUCAGAUGGGGAUUGUGUUAGAUUUCGUUACUGUACUCAAAGGAUGAUUCUCACGAUUACUAGCAGGGCUGGUCUUAUUUCUUUACACGCUCUUCUACAUAAUAAAAUUUACUGCCAUAGAUUGCAGAGUCUUGUAUCUCAAUCAAAGGGGUGUUACUCCUGGACGGAUAUUCAUGCAAGUGUUGUUGGGAUACAACAUAUGCUCGAUGGAAUUCAAGUUCCAGAAGUGUUGAUAUUGGUGGUGUCCCAGAUUACUAAAAUGUUGCUCUGGGUAGGAUACUUGAGGUGAAAAUUUAAAUUGGUUCCACCUGGUUCGUGGAGUAUGAGAAGUGUUAGCCUGGAAGUUCAUUUCUCAGUUUUGCGUUUUGACGAAAACGAGACUUUUUGGAGCAUUUUGUUUUGCAGAGCUGAGGACCAUGUCUCUAACAACAGUUAUUACCUAGAGUUUUUAUGUCCAUCUCAGGGAGACACUGCACGGCAUAUCGAAAUGAUGAAACACGACAGUCGGAGCACAUAAGACUUUUUAUCAUCAGAUCACAUACUUGUGAUUGCACCUGGUAAGAUUGCAUUACUCAAUGAGCAACACGCUACUCAUCUCAGUGGUGUACUAGUAAUUAUUCAUGAUACUAGAUUGAAGGACACACACUAACUUUGAUGAUAAAAAAGGGUGGACUUGGGGCAGUCAGAGAAAUUCCAUAUUUGAUGUUCUUAGAUCUUGUUGUAGUGGGACCCUAGCCAUGAUUAUUGCUGGUAGUGAUACGUUCAUCAGUGCUUACCAAGAUAUGAAUUGUGAAGUUAGUGGGCAUAUUUACUCAGUUAAGACAAACUCAAGAGAGUUAAAAUCUCUGUUUGAUGCAUAGAUAGGAACUUAGGCCAUGGGUGAUACAAGCAGCUGUGCAGAUAACAGAGUCGCUUGUCUUUUGGAAAACACAAGAAUGUCAAGUUCAAUGGCUGAUAAUGAUAUUCAUUGGCGACAGUCGGUUGUUGGGCCUGGUUUGCAAUGUGUAAGAGUCUCAAGGUUAUUUAUUUGCGUUAAGGCUAUUGGGCUUCUCAUACCAGUUUGAGGGACUAAUUCGGCUACAGACCACAAUCGUUGCUUGUUACUUCUGCAUUCCUCCUGAAGAUGUCGCAGGCGAUGAAUAUCUAUCAGUCAAGCUGGUUUUCGCGAUUCUCAAAGAUGUUUUCAAGGGGAGUGGAAUGUCAUGAGUUUGGGGUGCCCCAUAUCGUAAUUAUGUCUGUCUUUAGUGGUUUAGUAGUUAAUUGUAAUGGUGGGCUGUGAUUGUACCACCUGUUAGCUAUCUAUCCGUGGGUUCUAAGGUAGUACUUCAGAGAUUUUUAUACUCUCGUGUCUGUAAUGGAAAGGGCAUAGAAUAUUAAGAAAUCAAUAGAACUUUUUCUUUUGGUUGUGUUCA